GAUAUGCUUUCUUCUCUGUUCAAUUCAACACUUUCUACUUCAAGGAUCUCAGAUUGUACAGUUGCGCACAACUGAUAGUUACUAGAAGGAACAGCUGGUACUUGCAUCUGUGGAUUAUUGUACUUGAUUUGCUGACAAAAUGUAAAAGGGCUUUUUAAGCUAGCAUCUAAUCUUUCCAAUCUGGGCCAUUGCUGCUGCCUGUUUUCUAUGUCUUGUGGUUGCUUUUGUCCAUGCCUGGAUUGAAUAUGAAACAAUGAUCUUCCACUUACUUGACUGUAGAACUCUUCAAACAAGGUUGUGCUUUCAACAUGUGGAAGAUUUGUUGAAGAUGUAUUGAGAUUCUUGCUGUGUUUGCACCCAUUUGCAUGAUCUUCUGCUUCUG
rnacentral:misc_RNA from 1 species